ACGGGGUGCAGCAGGCGCGAAAACUUUGUAAAGUGCGAAAGCACGACAAGGUUAAUCCGAGUGGUUUCUGCUAAAGAAACCUUUUGUCAGUCCUAGAAACACUGAUGAAUAAGGGGUGGGCAAGUUCUGGUGUCAGCCGCCGCGGUAAAACCAGCACCUCAAGUGGUCAGGAUGAUUAUUGGGCCUAAAGCAUCCGUAGCUCGUUUUGUAAGUUUUCGGUUAAAUCCAUGCGCUUAACGUAUGGGCUGCCGGGAAUACUGCAUAACUAGGAAGUGGGAGAGGUAGACGGUACUCGGUAGGAAGGGGUAAAAUCCUUUGACCUAUUGAUGACCACCUGUGGCGAAGGCGGUGUACCAGAACACGUUCGACGGUGAGGGAUGAAAGCUGGGGGAGCAAACCGGAUUAGAUACCCGGGUAGUCCCAGCUGUAAACGAUGCAGACUCGGUGAUGCAUUGGCUUGUGGCCAAUGCAGUGCCGCAGGGAAGCCGUUAAGUCUGCCGCCUGGGAAGUACGUACGCAAGUAUGAAACUUAAAGGAAUUGGCGGGGUAGCAC
rnacentral:rRNA from 2 species